GUCUCUCUUCAUCGUUUUGCAUAAAUGAUGCUGCAGCCAAACUCUGCCAGCUGGGCUUGCCAGCUGGGAGGACAGAAGUCUCUGGGUCUUUAGUCUGCUCAGCCCUAACAUCUUUUUGCCCUGACUCAGGGAUGAGGGACCCUAGCUCUAUGCUAGCUUCCCCCUCAGGCCCAUCUCGCUCUUUGUGGAUUAUUCUUCUCACGACCCAAGCAGGGCACCUGGGGAAUUCUCAUUUCCACCCACACCUUCUAGAGAACACACUCAAGGUUUCCAGCCUCCAUUCUACGUAGGGCAAGAAGCUUUAUGCCAGACUUCCAGGCCGUCCACUGAGUGACAGACAGACACAGGUACAAGCUUAUGGAAUUACAAGUAUCAGAAAGAAGUUACAAAUAGAGGGUUUGGCCUCACCCUGACCUUGAGCUUGUUGCCGAGUGGACUGCUUACUGCAUAGCGUGAAUGGAGAAUGUUGACCAGCUCUGAGACUGCUAUCCCAUCACAACUGACUUAAAGGGCUAGCAAGAUGGCUCAGUGGGUAAGAGUAUUGUCCUACAAGCCUGACAGCCUGAGGUCAAUCCCUGCAGCCCGGGGGGAAGGAGUAAACUACAAUGUUGACCUCUGACCUCCACAUCCAUGCACUGGCAUGGCAACACACAUGGAUAAAAUAAUUUCAAAAGAAUGCAGUCUAUUUUGACUUAAACAUAAAACUGUAGCCUGGGAUCAAGUGAGGAGAGAGGUGGAGGAAGCCACAGCCAUAACCUUCCCUGCUCACCCUCCCUGAAGCCCCCAAAGGCCUCCACAGUUGAGACUCUUCAACUCUCAGAUUAGCUGCAGGUGGGCGCUUAAUGUCUUGUAAAUUAGCAUCAUCCUUUUCCAAAGGAGAAGCUGCAGGUCCACCCUCCUGAGUCUUGGGUGCCUUGUACAUUGCAAGUGUGUUUUCUGGGUUGUAGACUUGUGUGGGGAGCCACAUUCUUCUGUCCUGCUGAGGACAUAAGUGUUUUCCCAAAUGUGGUCACUGUGUGGUUGUGGCUGCAGAUUCCAGCUGGUGUGCUGUGUAGAAGAAAGCUAACGAUUUUAAUGUGGACUUCUGAUUACACGUUGGUGCUAAGCCCUUUAGAAAUUCCAGCUUUAUUAAACCCAUUCAUAAUCAUGAGCAAGGGAGUCUCAGGAAAUGUCCCAGAUAUUUCUCAAGUUCACAAUUUCCAUCUCCCAUCAGUAGUUCAGGUUUGAAGCACCUAUUUGCUUGCCAUCAGCUACAGUCUUAGGAUCGUUUCCCCGUGGAUAUAUUAACACAACCCUAAUUCAUUUGUCUAGCAAUCACCCAUUGUAGCUUUGGACUCAAUGCGCUCAAUGGUGAUUUAGGUAAAUUUGUUAGACGCAGAUGUGCCAUCUCAGGGAGCUGUUAGGGGGGAGGAGUGUCUUGAGUCCCCAUCCCCUCGUUCUUAUUUAAAUCAUUUCAUUUCUUCUUCUUGAGCCCUUUACUUUCUAGAAACUUUCCUGGUAUGCGAUAAAUUUUCUAGGGCUGCCAUAACAAACUACGGUGUACUAAAUAGCUUAGAGAACAGAAGUUACCCUUUGGUUCUAAAGGCUGGCUGUUGGUAAGGUUGGCCUCUUCAAAGAACUGUGACAGGGAAUCUAUUCUGUGACUCACCCCUAGCUUCUGGUGGCUGGUGACAACUUCUGGCAUACUUUGGCUUGUAGAUACAUCACCCAAGGCAGUCUCCAUCCUCCUGAGAACUUCUCUGUUUCUCCUUACAUAUCCCAUCUUUUUGUAAGGACACCAGUCACACUUGGCUAGGAACUUGACCUACAUCAAUAUGGACUCACCUAAUUAAUUAUAUCUGCCACAACUUAGCUCCACAUAGGAUCUCAGUGACUUUUGAGUUGUAGAGAAAUAAAAAUUGGCCAUGUUUGCAAGAUCCCAAAUUUAUGUUUUCAGCUCUUAAUUAUUUAUAUUUUCAGAUAGCCACAAAAGUAGAGGCGGAUGUUGUAAAGACUCUGUACCCGUCUUGCAGCUUCAGGAAUCAUCAGCUUUUACAAGCCACAUGUCAUCCUGUCUUUCAUGUCUUACAUCAUCCUUUAGAUCCUUCAGAAUACACUGCAGGUCCACGCAAGGGGGGGGGGGGGGGGAGGAAUUCCAAAGAGAGGAUGCUCAGGAGUGCUCACUGACAUUCUGGAAGAGGAAGAGGUGGCUGCACGGUCAGAUAUGGAAAUAUGGGUAGUUUUGGAGCCAUCUGGGCAUGUGUGCAUGGCUGCUUAGGGCAGAGCUGAUGUGCCAGCGGAUGAGUGGUAUUCUUUACUCCAUGUGGCACGGAGCACCUACUGGACUUGUUUCCAUACAACGUGAACGUGUAUCCUACGAGAAGAUUGUCUUCACCGUUACAAAUCUGAAACCAAUAAUUUUCUUUUAAAAUGCAAAUAUAAGUUCAAUUUCCCCUUUCUUUCCCUAUGCAGCUGAAAGCACGCCGCGUCUUAGAGACUUUCAUUUCAUUGAAUUUUGAGAUGACAUUACCUUUCAUUAAUCCUUUCUAGCAAAGUUUAAUUAAAACCAUCACAUGAUGGCAACCAUUAAUGGUUUUUUUUUUUUUAGAGCUCAGGCAGGCUUGGUAGAGCAGACCUGUGGUCUCAGCUAUCUGAAGGCUGAAAAUUCAAGGCCAACUCAAGCUGUAUGUUGAGUUCAAGACUAGCCUACUCAACUCUGUGAGACCCAAUCUCAAAU
rnacentral:lncRNA from 1 species